CCGAAAGGGUGACGAAGCGACGCCGCGUGGGUGAGGAGGCCUUCGGGUUGUAAAGCCCUGUCAGGAGUUAAGAAAUGUAAGUGCGCUAAUAUCGCAUUUAUUUGACGAAGGCUCCAAAGGAAGUCACGGCUAACUCUGUGCCAGCAGCCGCGGUAAUACAGAGGUGGCAAGCGUUGUUCGGAAUUAUUGGGCGUAAAGAGCACGUAGGUGGGUUUGUAAGUCAGAUGUGAAAGCCUUCUGUUCAACGGAAGAAUUGCAUCUGAAACUGCGAGUCUUGAGUGUAGGAGGGGAGAAUGGAACUUCUGGUGGAGCGGUGAAAUGCGUAGAUAUCAGAAGGAACGCCGGCGGCGAAAGCGAUUCUCUGGCCUAUUACUGACACUCAGUGUGCGAA
rnacentral:rRNA from 1 species